UUACUUACCUGGCGGGGGGGAUACCAUGAUUACGAAGGUGGUUUUCCCAGGGCUAGGUUUAUCCUUUGCGCUCUGGGUGUGCUGACUCCUGCGAUUUCCUCAAAUGUGGGAAACUACUGUGUAAUUUGAGGUAGUGGGGGACUGUGUUUGCACUCUCCCCUA
ensembl:snRNA U1 U1 spliceosomal RNA